UGCCAGACUCCUACGGGAGGCAGCAGUGGGGAAUAUUGCACAAUGGGGGAAACCCUGAUGCAGCGACGCCGCGUGAGUGAAGAAGUCUUUCGGUAUGUAAAGCUCUCUCAGCAGGGAAGAAAUAGCGACCUUUGGGUCGCCAGACGGUACCUGAUUAAGAAGCCCCGGCUAACUACGUGCCAGCAGCCGCGGUAAUACGUAGGGGGCAAGCGUUAUCCGGAUUUACUGGGUGUAAAGGGAGCGUAGACGGCGACGCAAGUCUGAAGUGAAAUGCCAGUGCUCAACACUGGAACUGCUUUGGAAACUGUGUAGCUAGAGUGCAGGAGAGGUAAGUGGAAUUCCUAGUGUAGCGGUGAAAUGCGUAGAUAUUAGGAGGAACACCAGUGGCGAAGGCGGCUUACUGGACUGUAACUGACGUUGAGGCUCGAAGGCGUGGGGAGCAAACAGGAUUAGAUACCCCAGUAC
rnacentral:rRNA from 1 species